rnacentral:sRNA from 1 species
ACUCAACACUAUUCUAUUAUGAAGGAUGAGUCUUAACUACAAAAGCAUGCCAUAAAUGCUGAUUUUUUUCAGUUUUUAAAUGGAUCCUUGAAUAGUUAGUUAGUCCUAUAAAUGUCAUAUUGGAGUUU